CCCUUAGAUGUUCUGGGCAGCACGCGCGCUACAAUGGUCUUCGCAAACGGAUGCAUUCUCGAAGGAGAAUGCCAGUCUUGGAAUCUAUGCCUUGGUCGGGACAGUUGCUUGCAAUUUUUCGACUCGAACCAGGAAUUCCUUGUAAUCGUGAUUCAUCACAUCACGAUGAAUACGUCCCUGCCCUUUGUACACACCGCCCGUCGCUCCUACCGAUCGAAGAGUUAGGUGAAUUGUUUUGAUCGAUAAGAUUUGACUAUGGUCAACUCUCGUUGUGAAAUUCUGUGAAUCUGACUGUUUAGAGGAAGGAAAAGUCGUAACA
rnacentral:rRNA from 1 species